AAAAAACAACAAAAAAAAAUCCUCCUUUUUUUUUGUCUUUUUCUCUUUUUUUCCCCUUUUUUCCUUUUUAUUUUUGUAUAUGUGUG
rnacentral:ribozyme from 1 species